GUUUCAUUUUCCCUCCCGCGAAGGCGCGCAUUUAUUUUCCAUUUUCUCCCCGGCGACACGGCGGUGACACGGCGGCGCCACCUAAGAAGUGAAGAUAUGCGAUUAUGGCGUCCCAAUCGUUCCCUUUCAUCCGUUGGCGAAAAUCUGCGUGAAUCUCUCUUUUUCUUCCGUUCUCCGAAGCUAUCCUCUUCGUACCUAAUCUCGUCGCCGAUCUUACUCCACUCCUCGGAAUCUCACCGUGUCUCCACAUUUUCAACUGCCGAAGACGAGAAGUAUGGCUUCCGUCGGCCGGAGAUGUAUGGGAGAAGCCUUUCCGGAACCGUUGGUGCUUACGAGCGCCACGUGUUCCUCUGCUAUCGAAGCCAUGAGGUCUGGCCGUCCCGUGUUGAAGGCUCGGACGCUGAUCUGCUACCUAAACUCCUUUCCUCAGCCAUAAAAACUCGUGAAAACGAAAUUUCUGUUAAGACAAAGCUGACGAUAUGCGAGGCAGGGGAGGGAGCUGAGCAUUCAGAUGGAGAUGUAUUGGUUUUUCCGGAUAUGCUCAAAUACAGGGGUCUGAAAGACGAAGACGUGGAGAGCUUUGUUGAGAAGGUGUUUUUGGAUGGUAAACUGGAGGCUUAUGGGGCACAUGAUGUUUUGGCUGGCUCUUAUAUUUUUGUAUGUGCACAUCGUAGUCGAGAUAAAAGAUGUGGUGUUUGUGGAACAGCUCUCAUUACAAAACUUACAGAGGAGAUUGAACUAAGAGGACUAGAGGAUCAGAUUUGUGUACAUGCGUGUUCACAUAUUGGUGGACACAAGUAUGCUGGAAACGUGAUUGUUUUUAGUCCAGAUCUAGAUGGGAGAAUCAUGGGCCAUUGGUAUGGCUAUGUUACUCCUGAUGAUGUGCCUGAAUUGCUGGAUAAACAUAUUGGAAAAGGCGAGUUAAUAGAAAGGCUUUGGAGGGGUCGAAUGGGGAGAAUCAAUGAUGAGGAAGGUAAAAAAGUUGAUGAAGACAAAAUUCCUAGUGCUGAAGUCUCCAAGGAAACUAAGAACAAACCUUGGGAGAAUGACAUCCAGGGCAACAAUUAGAAAAGAAGCCGCAAGCAAGUGGGCAGGGCGCACCCUCCUGCUGAAUCAGAACUUUGGAACAGAGUGUUUCAAAGCUUCACUUCAUUGUCCUUGGAUUCCAUAAUCUGCAAUGAUUGCACUCAAGGCCAAAUAUGAGCAUGAUUCGAAAGCUGUAGAGCUUACAGAAAGACGCCGCCUACAGCGAAUUUGGGCUCCAUUUACGAGCUGGUUGAUUGGCUAGUAUAAUCCUUUCUGACUCCAAAUUUCUGAAGUUUCCAGGAACAAGCCGCAAAUGACUCUAUUCACACAAAGGUACCAGCUUCUUUCUUAAUUCUAUUCUUAAAUGUCAUGCAAAAUAUUAUUCCAUGGCAUCGACAUAAAAUUAUGAGAAAAUAAAGCAUACACAUAGGGAAGGAGAUUGAAUUUUGUUAGACUACAUGUCUUGUUUCUCCUCAAGUUUCCUUGUCCCACCACCACAAUACUCACCUAAUCAAAACCUUCCCACCGACCACGUGAAAAUCUUGAAGUAAUUCUGGAAUGGUAUCAGCAGGCAACCAUGGAAUAGUAUGAGCAAAGUUGGAAGUUCCUGAUUUUCUAUCUUUGAAUUUGCCAAUCCUCACUUUCUUUCUGCAGAAGUUUGAGUGAUUACAAAUAUAUUACCAAAAUAGAUCAUUCUUCUUGGACCCGUCAAGGCUAUUUAGGGGUGUUCCCAUCUCAUUCCUCUUACCCCCAAUUUGACCUUUUGUGGAUAGUCAUAAACUUCCUUUCAUUUUUCUUUUCAACAUGCCCCAUGUGGAGGCCUGGAAAUACCAUCACAGACUGAAACAUUAUCAUUCUGGUUAAAGUAGAACUUUUUAUAAGUAUUCUGACUUUAUAGGUAUUGUGUAUUCAGUUGUGAAUAAAAUUUAACCUCGGUCAAAUGAGAUAGGACGCCAAGUUGGUCUAAUAAAAUAAAGACCAAUCUAAAUAGUAGAGAUUUAGAGGAAAUGAGAUGAAGUCACGCUGGCUACUUGCUUAAGAUUUAGUAUCCUACGAGUUUUUUUUAUAAUCAUGUCAAAUCCUUAUCCUAUAAGGAUAGUCGUGAGAUGCACAACUUGACCCGAAUACUCUCUAUAUAUAUAUAAUUACUAUGGGAGUUACUCUCUCCCUCCCUGCUGUGACCUUCCAUUCAUCAGCUUUUGUUAUACUUUAUCAUUUUGGGUCAUUUCAUAACUUCAAAACACCACAAUCCACUUUCUCUCUUUUCCAUGGAUGGUCUAAGGAAAUCAUCCUUCAGCCUUCCACUGUGUUUGGAAAAAAGUAGCUAGUGAUGGAUUAGCAACAAAUGUUGGUUUAUUUAGUUCUACGACUUGAGAAAGUGUCUCUAAGGAGGAGUACUCGAGUCAAAAGCACCUCAGCCGUAUUUGGAUCAAAAGCAAAAACAAAAAACUACGCCUUUCGAAACAAGUAUACCUUUUAACAUAGAAAACUCAAAAGACCAGCUUUAUCAAGCAUGCCCAAAUUAAUCAGACACCACCUAAUAUACUAACGCAAUUCCAUAUUUGAGCAAAGGGGGAAAAUAAUGGUGUUGAGUUAUUUCCAAAAGGGGAAUAAAAAUAAAUUAAUUUUAAUUACAUGUGGGAUCCAUCGUCAUAAUACUUGAGACGUAAAAGAUAAAAAAAAAAAAAAAAAAAAAAAGUUGUGAGACGAAUUAAUGUAAUGUCUCAAGCAGCCUACAAUUUGGACUCCUCGUUAUACGUGACUUGAAUUGUUUCAAAAGUAUGAGUUGUCUCUAUGAACCAUAUGAAAACAACUUUAACCUUUCUAUUUUGUAUUUUUGUCAUCUUAAAAUCUCUUUCAUUUUGCCUUCUCUCUUCCCUUUGGUACUUUGGAUGUCAUUUUUAAAUUAGCAUUACAAAUAAUAAAAAUGAAAGUGAGGAAAAAUGAUAUAUUGGAAUGGGUUCUUAUUUAUUAGAAGUAAGAUCCAAUUUACUAGCCUAGGGCUUUGCCCAAAUAUCGGUCAUAUUUGACAGGCACUCGUUGGCCCAACUUUUCACUUAGUUGAAAAAGGAGAAAAAAGAAAAAAAAAAAAACAAUUGAUUUUUAUCCCCAAAAUUUGUGAAAUUGUAACCAAGGUACACCCUAAAUUUGGAUAGUUGUCUUAAUCUUAACCUUAAACUUGAGGUUAAACUUGAAUAAGUGCUUGUAACUAUUGCCCUUUGAUAAAUUUUGUUAUGUGAAAAUUUAGUUUAAAAAGUUUUGUCAUGAUUGUAAAAAAUAUGCAUGGUGUGAAAUUUAUAAGAUUUAAAA